rnacentral:pre_miRNA from 1 species
GAGGUACUCCUUCCAUCCGAAAAAACUUGUCCCUCAAAUGGAUGUAUUUAGCACCAAGUUAGUGCUAGAUACAUUCAUUGGAUGAAUAAACUUGCGACAAGUUUUUUUUUUCGGAUGGAGGGAGUACGAA